rnacentral:tRNA from 1 species
GAUGCACCGGUAGCUCAGUGGCCAGAGCGCUUUCCGGCGGGCUUUCGCUCGCUGGGUCACAGAAUCGCCUGUUCCCGGAUCGUGUCCCUUCGUCGCCACCGCCGGUGGUGAAGAGCGCUGUUACUUCGCGGUCGGAGGUUCGAACCCUCCCGGACAUCA